CCUACGGGUGGCAGCAGUCGAGAAUCAUUCACAAUGGGGGAAACCCUGAUGGUGCGACGCCGCGUGGGGGAAUGAAGGUCUUCGGAUUGUAAACCCCUGUCAUGUGGGAGCAAAUUAAAAAGAUAGUACCACAAGAGGAAGAGACGGCUAACUCUGUGCCAGCAGCCGCGGUAAUACAGAGGUCUCAAGCGUUGUUCGGAAUCACUGGGCGUAAAGCGUGCGUAGGCUGUUUCGUAAGUCGUGUGUGAACGGCGCGGGCGCAACCCGCGGACGGCCCAUGAUACUGCGAGACUAGAGUAAUGGAGGGGGAACCGGAAUGCUCGGUGUAGCAGUGAAAUGCGUAGAUAUCGAGAGGAACACUCGUGGCGAAGGCGGGUUCCUGGACAUUAACUGACGCUGAGGCACGAAGGCCAGGGGAGCGAAAGGGAUUAGAUACCCGGGUAGUC
rnacentral:rRNA from 1 species